AUUGAACGCUGGCGGCAGGCCUAACACAUGCAAGUCGAGCGGAUGAAGGGAGCUUGCUCCUGGAUUCAGCGGCGGACGGGUGAGUAAUGCCUAGGAAUCUGCCUGGUAGUGGGGGAUAACGUCCGGAAACGGGCGCUAAUACCGCAUACGUCCUGAGGGAGAAAGUGGGGGAUCUUCGGACCUCACGCUAUCAGAUGAGCCUAGGUCGGAUUAGCUAGUUGGUGGGGUAAAGGCCUACCAAGGCGACGAUCCGUAACUGGUCUGAGAGGAUGAUCAGUCACACUGGAACUGAGACACGGUCCAGACUCCUACGGGAGGCAGCAGUGGGGAAUAUUGGACAAUGGGCGGAAGCCUGAUCCAGCCAUGCCGCGUGUGUGAAGAAGGUCUUCGGAUUGUAAAGCACUUUAAGUUGGGAGGAAGGGCAGUAAGUUAAUACCUUGCUGCUUUGACGUUACCAACAGAAUAAGCACCGGCUAACUUCGUG
rnacentral:rRNA from 1 species